rnacentral:tRNA from 1 species
UCCCUGGUGGUCCAGUGGUUAGGACGCCACACUCCCAGUGCAGGGGGCACAGGUUUGAUUCUUGUUUAAGGAA